rnacentral:rRNA from 1 species
AUUGAACGCUGGCGGCGGGCCUAACACAUGCAAGUCGAGCGGUGCUGCGGACGGGUGGGUAAGGACUAGGAAUCUGCCUGGUAGUGAGGGAUGACGUACGGAAACGGGCGCUAAUACCGCAUCCUAUCAGAUGAGCCUAGGUCGGAUUAGCUAGUUGGUGAGGUAAAGGCCUACCAAGGCGACGAUCCAUAGCUGGUCUGAGAGGAUGAUCAGUCACACUGGAACUGAGACACGGUCCAGACUCCUACGGGAGGCAGCAGUGGGGAAUAUUGGACAAUGGGCGAAAGCCUGACCCAGCAAUGCCGCGUGUGUGAAGAAGGUCUUCGGAUUGUAAAGCACUUUAAGUUGGGAAGCGUUACCAACAGAAAAAGCAACGGCUAACUACGUGCCAGCAGCCGCGGUAAUUC